CCUACGGGGGGCAGCAGUGAGGAAUAUUGGUCAAUGGCCGGAAGGCUGAACCAGCCAAGUCGCGUGAGGGACGACUGCCCUAUGGGUUGUAAACCUCUUUUAUAAGGGAAGAAUAAAUGCUACGUGUAGCAUGAUGCCUGUACCUUAUGAAUAAGCAUCGGCUAACUCCGUGCCAGCAGCCGCGGUAAUACGGAGGAUGCGAGCGUUAUCCGGAUUUAUUGGGUUUAAAGGGUGCGUAGGCGGUUUUUUAAGUCAGCGGUCAAAUCGUGGGGCUCAACCCCAUCCAGCCGUUGAAACUGGGGAUCUAGAGUGUGCGAGAGGUAUGCGGAAUGCGUGGUGUAGCGGUGAAAUGCAUAGAUAUCACGAAGAACUCCGAUUGCGAAGGCAGCUCACUGGACUGCAACUGACACUGAGGCUCGAAAGUGUGGGUAUCAAACAGGAUUAGAUACCCUAGUAGUC
rnacentral:rRNA from 1 species